CAUGGUUUGCCAAUAGUUGAAGAAGGGGCCCCCAAGACAUGGGAAUGGAUGAAGAAGGAGUGUUCUAAACCUACCCCCUAAAACCAGAUUUUCUCCUCUACCAUCAAAAUUUGCUCUGGGAUUUGUCUGUCCACCUGGAGAGCAGGAGAAGUAUAGCAGCUCCCUGAGACUUCAGCGGCUGCCCUGGGCCCUGUUGCUACAAGAUGGAAGCAAACUGAGAAGGCUCGCUUGGCAAUGGAAUAACUGGCACUGGAAUGGUUUUCUCUGGUGACCUGUGGGCAGCAGCCUAGUUUAAGAUGUUCAGGAUGAACUCUGGGCCAAACAUAGGCCUGUCCUGCAACAGAGGGGGAUGUCCAAGGAGCUCAGGAGGAAGUGGAGCGGGAACUACCCCCAGUGCUGUACUGGUGCAAAAAUAUGCAUGAAAAUGUGUGCAAACGAGCUUGUGGGCAGUUUCUCCUCAUGGUCUGUUAAAAAGAAGCUGCAAAGUGGUGAAGAUCUGGAAUGGAAAGAACAUGUACUUUUAAACUAUGAGCAUUAUAUAAAGUGAAACAAGUAAACAAAUAGUCCAUGUCCUGGGAUGAUGCAGGAGUAAAGCAAAGCACAGUGUACUGCUUAUAUACGGCUCCACAGUACUAAAGCUCUCUCUUGUUUACAACCACCAGACCUCGGAAAGACUAACCUUGAGCCAGCUACCUGAAUCCAUUGGCAACGAACUCAGGUUGUAAGCAGAUUCUUGGCUGCAGUACUGCAGUUCAGCCACGAAAUCCACUGUGAAUCCUCCUUUUCCUGUGCUUCGGUCCUCCUAACUGUUUGUGUGUGGUCUGUUAUGUAGGAUUUUAAAAAGUCUUCCACCUACUGAAAAAUGAGAAGAAUAUUUUAAACUGCAAAAUUUUAUAGCACCUUAGGCAGCCCCAGCUAGAGGAGGGGAGUAAAUGUUAGCAAAUAGUGCAGUACAGAAAAAAAAGUGUUUUCUUUUAUCUGCAAAAUUUGACCACUCUGGAGGCACUACCUUCCAGCAACGAUGUUUUUCUAAGAUUUUUCUGUGCACCAGGAUCUAUCGAUUUGCUGCCAGUGCUUACAAGCCUAAAGGGAAGGUCGCAUUUUGUCAUAGCAGUUUUUUAAGAUAAAGACAAAUGUUUGUAGUGCUGGCCUUCGCUCACUUAAAAACAUAUCUGCCCAAUGAAAUAGGAUGUGUAAGCAGAACUAAAGAAAGAAAACCUUAACAGGUAACCUGCUUUUCAAAAAACGUUUGUCUCAUUAGAGUAAUAGGAAUGGCUACUGAUAAGACAGGCAGUUUCUGGAGGUUGUAGAAACACCUGGCAAUUAGUUUAGAAAUAGUUUCCUCUUUUAUAACCAGUUCUGAGCAUCAUUAGCUACAGCACGCUCUCUGCCUUUCUCAAGAGAUUCUGCUGAUGCAUAUGAAUUUAAGGUCUGUCCUUUUCUCAGGUGGUAAUUGACAAGGCAAAAGCCAGGAGCUCACCAGCCAAUCUUUGCUUUAAAAAAAACCCACCUACACAGCUUAUGGGGCUAUAAUUGCUCUCAGACCC
ensembl:lncRNA